CCUGGAGACUCCUACGGGAGGCAGCAGUGAGGAAUAUUGGUCAAUGGGCGUAAGCCUGAACCAGCCAAGUAGCGUGCAGGAUGACGGCCCUAUGGGUUGUAAACUGCUUUUAUGCGGGGAUAAAGGAGCCCACGUGUGGGUUUUUGCAGGUACCGCAUGAAUAAGGACCGGCUAAUUCCGUGCCAGCAGCCGCGGUAAUACGGAAGGUCCGGGCGUUAUCCGGAUUUAUUGGGUUUAAAGGGAGCGUAGGCCGCGCCUUAAGCGUGUUGUGAAAUCCGGGUGCUCAACAUCCGGCUUGCAGCGCGAACUGGGGCGCUUGAGUGCGCUGAAAGUAGGCGGAAUUCGUGGUGUAGCGGUGAAAUGCUUAGAUAUCACGAGGAACUCCGAUUGCGAAGGCAGCCUACUGUAGCGCUACUGACGCUGAUGCUCGAAAGCGUGGGUAUCGAACAGGAUUAGAUACCCUUGUAGUCCU
rnacentral:rRNA from 1 species